AGAGUUUGAUCAUGGCUCAGAACGAACGCUGGCGGCAGGCCUAACACAUGCAAGUCGAACGCGCGUAGCAAUACGCGAGUGGCGCACGGGUGAGUAACACGUGGGAACCAACCCUGAGGUUCGGAAUAACCGCGGGAAACUGCGGCUAAUACCGGAUAUCCCCUACGGGGGAAAGAUUUAUCGCCUUGGGACGGGCCCGCGUCCGAUUAGCUAGUUGGUGAGGUAAUGGCUCACCAAGGCUCCGAUCGGUAGCUGGUCUGAGAGGACGACCAGCCACACUGGAACUGAGACACGGUCCAGACUCCUACGGGAGGCAGCAGUGGGGAAUAUUGGGCAAUGGAGGCAACUCUGACCCAGCCAUGCCGCGUGGGUGACGAAGGUCUUCGGAUUGUAAAGCCCUUUCGGCGGGGACGAUGAUGACGUACCCGCAGAAGAG
rnacentral:rRNA from 1 species